GUGAGCCUUGGAACCCCAAAGAACUUCCGGUGCAUUUGUAAACAGCUGGUCUGUUGCGGCUGUAAACAGUUUAAAACUUGCCUGCAUGGAUAGUAACGUUAGCAGCAGGAGGUGGCGGCACCAGGAUAAUGUGUAGCACACGGACAUAGAGACCUGUGAAAGCUGCUAAACCCAGUCUACGGAUGAAGGGCUCAAAGAAAGUUCCAAGUCCUGGAGAGACUGAAGGGUAUCUCCAAUGGGUUAUAUAUGCUAUUGGUUUAGUGUAAGAAUUGGUUGUUGGACUAUAAAAAUACUGUUCAAAGUAACAAUGCAUAGACCUAGAACAUGCAUAGCCAACCUUGCUCCUAGAGAUCUAGCUAUUGGGAGUGCAGGUUUCUGUUCCAGCCCAGCCCUGACAUUCUGCUUAUUAUUCAUUUAACUUUUCAAUCAUUUCGUUUUGGAGUAAGAUGGAUGUCUAAACCCACGAACCAUUUACCAUCUUUGUAUGAUAUGAAAUAAAGUGUUGAUUCCUUGAAUUAAGUAUAGUAGUCAGUGUACAUGUCUGUUUGUUAUUUGACUGUCACUCUCAUUUUGUCUGAUAUUGCACAGAUGUGCAGCUGAAGCUGAUGUCCUUGAUCAUUGGUGUAGGUGUAACAAUCCUUGUAUGGCAGACCUAGGACGCAACCCCUGUCCACAACAGCACUUCAUACCAAGAAAGCAGUGCCCAUUAUCCUACCAAAACCAUGAUCUUGGUUGGGCAAGGAUAAAAGUACUUCAGGGCAGGUAUACACACACUCACUCACACACACUACAUUGACACUCGCUCACAAAACCCACACACAUAUUUGCAUACACUACAUAUGCACACACACACACACACGCAUACGGACACAACACAAACACAUAUACAUACACUUUACACACACUUUUACACUCAUCAUUUGCUGCUGCUACUCUGAUCUUUAUUUUACUCUUAUUAUCUAUCCUGAUGUCUAGUCACUUUACCCUGCCUUCAUGUACAUGUCUACCUCAAAUACCUUACUAUUAUCUAUCCUGAUGUCUAGUCACUUUACCCUGCCUUCAUGUACAUGUCUACCUCUAACUCUGCACAUUGAUCUGGUACUGAUACUCUCUGUAUGUAGCUCCACAUUGAUCUGGUACUGAUACUCCCUGUAUAUAGCUCCAUUCUUGUGUAUUUUACUUCUAUUCCUCUUGUUACUAUUUUAUGGUAAAGUCUAUACCAGUUGUAUUCGGCGCAUGUGAUUUUCUAACAUGAAUGUAUCUAUAUUUUAAUACCAUAAGCAUCUCAGCUGUGGGAGGAUCUCCUCCUGCAAUGUUGUGCCGAUUCUGCUACACUUACUGUCCUCCUCCUCCAGUGGUUGGAACUCAUAAAUGACGUUGCUACUUUGCAGCCAAUGUAAAAAUGAUCCUUCACUGUGGUCACUCCUCGGGGUAUUUGUCUCUUGCGUCCACUAUCCGUUUUCUCUAUUUGAAAUGACACUAUCAGAAAUAGGAAAAGCACUCACACAUCUGAGAUAACUUGUGUGUAUGGGAGAAUCAUUUGCUAAUAACUUGAAAGAAAAUAUAAGGCUGAUAAUGGCAAGAUCAGUGUGUGGGUUUGUUUUUUUCAUUAGACAAUUCAUUUGGCUAACCAUGUUGAAGGAUACCAGAUUUGACUUCUACAGCUACUGCAGCUCAUGCAGUCAUGAAAUGGAUUAGUGCAAGCCCUACCCUUGUAAUGAAGGUAGGCCUUAAGGAUGACAUGCACAGGAGAAACAUUAUUAGCAAAUAUCACUAUCACAAAGGUGUGCAGAAAGGAAUAUUUACAUGUUUUAUUUUAAUUUCAAAAUACAUGUCGCUUGAAAUAAAGUUACAAUUUGUUUGCUUUGUGUUAUGUAUAAUCCUGGUGUGAUUAUUAUCAGUUCAACAUUGUCACCACAAGGUGUCAGCAUUAGCAUUUGUAUUAUAAUCUAGCUUUACUUAAUGCAAACAAACCAGUAGCUAGGUCUCCUAACGUGAGGUCGACAAUACAUGCCUAACACAAGCUAGCGGUUUAUUAAAACUACAGUUUCUUAAUUGAAACUAAGAGGGCAAUACACCUGGGUAAAAUAUAGUUGCAUUUUGGAGGAAGCAGAAGACGACCUAGGAGAGACAUUGGUGCAUGGUGUAGCUCAGCAGACCCUAGCGUACAGGCUGUGCGGCCCGGGUGACCCAUGGUUGUCGCAGUGGACCACCCACAUUGCUUGCACCAGACGAUGAAAAUUAUCUGGGGCAGUACUGUAUCUACUGCACCAGGCAUGGGUUCCCCUUCACCAGACAGAGGCUGAUGAAAUACGCCGACAAAAUACACAGGUUUCGGCACCCAUGGGAAACAAUCCCACCACUGGGGAAGAGGUGGUGGGAAAUGUUUAGGAGGAGGCACAAGAACCUGAGCAUGAGGAGGCCAGACACUCUGGACUGGGGGAGAGCUGAGUGUGCUACACGUCUGACGACGGACGCCUUCUUCACUUCUUAUGAGAAGCACUUGGAGGAGAGUGGGUUGAGGGAGAAACCCAGACAAAAUCUAUAACUGCGAUGAGUCUGGGUUUCGAAGCGACUAGAGCAGGCACAAAGUGCUUGCUCCCUGGGGUGCAAAACACAUGUACCAGCAGGCUCCUGCUUCAACGCAGCUGGGGAGGACGUCCCCCAGUUUAUCAUCUACCCCAAGUGUUUCUCCCCCCCAGCCUUUGGAUGGUAAAACAGUGGCUACAUUGACGGGAACCUGUUCAGGAAGUGGUUUCAGCACUUCAUUAAGCAUGCAGUGAAGGAGCGCCCUCUCCUUCUCCUCUUUGAUGGGCACAAGAGCCACAUGGACCCGGAGGUGCUCGCUGCGGCACUAAGGGAAGGGGUUAUACUGCUUUGUCUUCCACCACACUGCACCCAUGUCCUGCAGCCGCUGGACGUGGCAUACUUUGGUCCUUUAAAGGCGGAGUUCUCCAAGGUAGCCAUUUUGACCACUCCUACAUGGUAAACAAAUCAGAAUUUGCCAGAGUAUUCCGCUACCCGUACCAGCGCUGCAAGGACAUGUGCUAUGUGGUGGAAAGGUUUAAGAAGUGUGGCCUCUUCCCUUUUGACCCUUCAACUAUUGAAGGGUCCUGUUGAAUGCCGUCUCGGUCCCUACCGGAUCCCACCACCGCCUCCCCUGGAACCAGCAGCACUGUGCCAUCCAUCAGCGCCUCCUCCCCAGCGACCACAGGAGGACCCUCAGCCCCUGAUCCAGUCCCAGCUCCAGCCCUAGCUCUAGAAGAGCACCCCCUAUUAGAGGGGGGGCUGAUAGCAAAGGACCUGGGGCACAUACUUACUGUCCUGAAGUAUCAGCUAGACCGAUAAAGAAGACUCCCUGUGGUCGCUGCAUGCCUCACCGGGGAGGAAUACACGCGCCAUUGGCAGGAGAGGGGCGAGAAGGAGAGGGCCGAGGCAGAGGAGAAAGAACGUCGGGCAGCCCUCAGAACACAGAGGGCAAAGGAGAGGGCUGCCAUGGAUGAGACCAUUGACGCCUCUGCUGGAGGCCCCGCUGGAACCACUCCUGACAGCUGCAUCACCAUUGCCAGUGUCUCCCAGUGUGCAACACCUGUAGGAGCCGCCGGAGUCCCCAGCUGCAGAAGAAGGCCACGUGCCUACUCUCCUGACUAUCGUCGGCCCCUCAACCCCAACAUUACACCAGCUCCUCCAAGCCAUCGUCAGCGGUUUCGUCCACCACCACGAUGCACACCACCCCCCCUGUCUGGCACCAGUAACGCGGCCUACUCUGGCCCAGCUGCCUCCUCUGUCUCCCCUGGUCACACCACCAUAGCAGCCUUGUCUGGUGUCCCUGCAAUUCGAAUACAGCCACCUCCACAGUCCACAGCACCCGCCCUCAAGCACAGAAAAGAGAAAAGCUCCACCGGCCACCUCUGUCACACCACCCAUGGCACCACUCUCAGAAGACACCACCUGCUGUGCUCGCUGCGGAGAGCAUGAUCCACCUGCAAGCUUUCCGCAGGAGUGUAGGUCCGAGGUGCCAUGGGUGUGUUGUGACUUCUACCAGCACUGGUUCCACUGCAGGUGUGUGCAGUGGGAUCCAGAGGUGGCGGUGAAGAUUGAUUUUUGUUGUGAUUUUGUUGACAAUAUAGGGAUUGAGGUCAAGAUUUAAUUGUUUGUUUUCAUAUUAAAUUAGUUAUUUGUAAAAAGAAAUAUGCUAAAAGAUAAUAUAUAUAUACAUAUUUAUUCAACCCAUCUUGUGUAUUUCUUCCUUUACUUUCCAAGUGCAUCUCUGCAACACAAACUCAUGUCAAUGCACAUGACUGAAAUUCAAGUUUUAUUUGAUGUAAAUUAUUCAUACUCAUUUAUAUUUUAGUAUUAAACUGUGAUCUAUUUUCUCAAAACACAAGAUUAAUCUGUAAAACUAAUUAUGAGACAUUAUUUGGUUACAACACUGAAUAUGUUGGUGAAGAACCAUUUUUUAAGAGUCCACAGGAGGGCAAUAAAAAAGUUGACAGGCAAGUCAUUUUUUUUUUUACCGGAAGGCUAGCCAACAAAUCAACUUGCUAGUAAACAGGUUGGUGUCUUAUUUUGAACAAAAUUAAAACGGAUAUAUCUUGUAAUUGAACAAAAUAGUAAGGUGGCCAAAAAAUGGGGACCGCAUGCCGAUUUUUUUGCUAAGUCGUUUAUCAAAAAGCUGAUAUUAGUAGUAUUUCCACUGAAAUGUCAAACAUGCUAAUUGCUAACCUGUUAGCUAACAUUUUUACAACACCAAUAAUCACAAAACAUUGAUGGCUUGAUCACAAGAUAACACUGUUUUAGGCAAUAUAUUUCUUAAACGCUGUUGAAUAUGCCGAUAAUACAGGGUGCUACGCUACUUCUCAAAUCAACGUAUCCUACUAUUUUCAUCACCAAUGGGAACCGUCGACACGCCUAUCUUCCAAGGAGCAUCUUCCAGAGUGAACAACAGUAGAAGACGGGAAAGGGGAGACCCCUUUUUUAGACAAUCAUAGCCUUACAAGCGUGCCGAUGAACGAAGACAUGCACAUGUAAAUACAUUCAUGAUUUCUUAUUCCAAACAGGCGGCGGUUCGUGUGCAAAGUAUAUGAUUACUGUGAGAAUGGUUCCUAACAUGUAUCAAUGAUAAGUCCCGCUUUUUCUCUCUCCCUGUCCAUGUCGUUGUGUAACAAGCCGCCAUAUGUUGUCAGUCCGCUAGGGACCUUGUCCUCAUGUAUUAAGUGUG
rnacentral:lncRNA from 1 species